rnacentral:rRNA from 1 species
UACGUAGGGUGCAAGCGUUGUCCGGAAUUAUUGGGCGUAAAGAGCUCGUAGGCGGUCUGUCGCGUCGAAUGUGAAAACCCGGGGCUCAACCCCGGGCCUGCAUUCGAUACGGGCAGACUAGAGUUCGGUAGGGGAGUCUGGAAUUCCUGGUGUAGCGGUGAAAUGCGCAGAUAUCAGGAGGAACACCCGUGGCGAAGGCGGCACUCUGGAUCGGCCCUGACGCUGAGGCGCGAAAGCGUGGGGAGCGAACGGG